UGGGGGAUAUUGCACAAUGGAGGAAACUCUGAUGCAGCGACGCCGCGUGAGUGAAGAAGGCCUUCGGGUCGUAAAGCUCUGUCCUAGGGGAAGAUAAUGACGGUACCCUAGGAGGAAGCCCCGGCUAACUACGUGCCAGCAGCCGCGGUAAAACGUAGGUGGCGAGCGUUAUCCGGAUUCACUGGGCGUAAAGCGCCUGCAGGCGGUCUCGUAAGUGGGAUGUGAAAUCUCCUGGCUUAACUGGGAGGGGCCAUUCCAUACUGCGAGGCUUGAGGGCAGAAGAGGGAAGCGGAAUUCCCGGUGUAGUGGUGAAAUGCGUAGAUAUCGGGAGGAACACCAGUGGCGAAGGCGGCUUCCUGGCCUGCUCCUGGCGCUAAGAGGCGAAAGCUAGGGGAGCGAACGGGAUUAGAAACCCCGGUAGUCCUAGCUAUAAACGAUGGAUACUGGGUGUCGGUGGUCCUAACCCCAUCGGUGCCGAAGCUAACGCGUUAAGUAUCCCGCCUGGGGACUACGGCCGCAAGGUUA
rnacentral:rRNA from 1 species